rnacentral:ncRNA from 2 species
ACAUUCCUUCGGGGGUAGGGUGAAAAUCCCAAUCGGUAGAUAUUCUCUACGAGUCCCGAUUAUAUCGGGACAUGAGCCGGCGAAACUCCGGCAGCGACCGUAAAGUCGGGAUGAAAGAAGGAAAAC